rnacentral:lncRNA from 1 species
CCAGGGUGGUGUGGGUGGUGAGGAUGGAGUUGUAGGGCUCUAAACAGCUGUGGACACCUGGGGGGGAGGGUAGAUGGAGAGCUCUAGCUUGGACUUCUUGCCAUAAUCGACAGAGAGAUGUUCCAUCAGCAGGGAUAUUAACCCAGAACCGGUUCCCCCUCCAAAGCUGUGGAAAACCAAGAAGCCCUGAAGACCUGUGCACUGGCCAGCCAGUUCCUGAAUUUGGUCCAAGACAAGUGAGACUACUGUAUGUUCCUCAAGCUUCUCUUGAAAGAAAAGAAACUCUUCUGCAUCCUCUGGCAAGUGGCCCAUCCACCGCUCAGGAGCCCUGUGUCAGCAGAGCAUCUGCAGCUGCAUGUUUGAGGACAGCCUGCCUAGGCCUGGAGAUCACAGUGUGUCUGCUGCACAGAAGUAGAUGCCUGAGUCGCUGGACUGGGAGGCUGUGAUAUGCAGGGAACUUUGCUGCUUCUUCUCAUUUAACGUGGCAGUGGUUUUUUCAUGACUCUUUUCCCCAUUCUCCCAUAAUAUCAUCAAGGAUAUUAGACCUUCACUAUUUUUUUGCCUGUACCAGUGUAGGGCAUACACAGGCUUUGAUGAAUGGCAGUUUAUGGUGAAAUUUUCUCCUUCUUGGAUGAUCAGAGACUGUGGACUCUGCUCCAGUUCUUGGCUACUGACCCCUGUUCAAAAAGACAAUGUAAAGAAAACGCCAAGCCUAAGAUCUUCAUGCUCAUGGUAGGUAUGGUUUUUCUCACCUGCCUCUUCACUUCCCCCUGAGGCAGCAACAUUAUCCCUUCAACACAGAAUAUUGUAUUGUCUAUCUUUUCAACAUGUAUCUGGCUCUCAAAUGGGCCUCCAUGGGACAGAAGAAGACUGAAUCCCUGCCCUCAGGAAGCUGUCAUCAUCCCCUGACUCUCUACACUAACCCCAUACUUACAGGCUGCCUGCAACUCUAAUAUCCCUAUGAGAACUUGCAGGAGAGUCUCCAUCUUCUGGUUCCUCAGAAGGCAGCUGGAUCAGGAGUUCUCGAAUGAGCUUCCCCAGCACAGGUUACUUGAGCUCAGCGGGGUCUCACUGGUGCAGGGCACUGCACCAAUCUGAGAGAUCACACCUGGUUUCCUGUUCCUCCAGUGCUGCAGACCUAAACUCAAAUACUUUUUGAACACUGCCACCUUUUGGCUAGACUGAGAAAUACUGAAUAAUGGAAGGCUUCUAGAAUUAGUUUGUAUAAAUGAGGUACAUUUAUUUAUUGCAACAAGUAUGGUAUUUAUUAUCGGAUAUUGAAAAUACCCUACUAUUGCAUGCUUGAAACAGUUUCCUCUUUGUAAUUAAAAUAAAGUGAAAAAUUCUGCUCUCUAAAAUACUGGGUAAUUGUUUUUCAACAUUUAGUUCUGCCUACUUUUGAUUUGAGUCUUAUAAAACACUACUUUAUUGAGGCAUACUCAAUAUGAUGUAUAAUAAACUGCAUAUAUUUAUGAUGAACUAUUUGAUAAUUUUUGACAUGGACAUACAAAUGUGAAAUCAUGAUCAAAAUCUAGAUAAUGAGCAUAUGCACUAUCUUAGGCUCCUUUGUGGCCUACUCAGUUUUAGAAUUAUGUCCUCACAUCUAGAUCUAUGAUCUAUCUGGAAUCAAUUUUUUUAUCGGUGCGAGCUAAGGGUUAAGGUUUAUAUUUUUGAAUAUGGCUAUCAACUAUUCAAGCAUGAUUUGUUGAGAAGGUUAUUUUUUCCUCAUUGAAUUGUUAUGGUACUUUUAUUGAAAAUCAACUAAUCAAAAAAAAAAAAGAAAAUCAACUAAUCAUAUAUAGGAGUCUAUUUUUGGACAUUUUAUUGUGUUCCAAGGUUAUAUUUGUCUAUCUUUAUAUCAAUCCCAUUGUUUCUCAAAUAUUAUAUUUUCAUAAAAACAACAUCAGUACUGUUGGUUCCUCCAAUUUGUUAUUCCUUUCAAAAUGUUUUCACUAACAUAGUCCCCUUUAAUUUUCAUGCAUAUUUGAUGAUGCUUCUGUCAGUUUCUACAAAACUUUCUGCUGGGAUUUUUAUUGGCUUUAUACUGAAUCUGUAAAUCAAUUUGGAGAGAAUUAAAAUUUUAUUUUUUAAAAGAUUUAUUUAUUUAUUUGAGAGAGAGAGAGAGAGAGAGAGAGAGAAAGAGUGGGAGGGACCAAAGGAGAGGGAAAGAGAACCCCAAACUGACUCUGCACUGUGUAUAGGCCUAAAGUGGGGCUUGAUCUCACAACCCUGAGAUCAUGACCUGAACUGAAGCCAAGGGUCAGCUGCCCAACUGACUGCAUCAGCCAGGCACCCUAGAAUUAACAUUUUGACACGAGUCUUCUAAUCCACGAGCAUAAUAAUUCUAUACUAAUUUAGCUCUGAAUUUUCUCUUGGAAAUUUUUUAUAUCUUUUAUUAUUUAGAUUUUUUAAAAUAAAUCUAUUUUUUAUUGGUGUUCAAUUUACCAAAAUACAGAAUAACAUGCAGUGCUCAUCCCGUCAGGUGCCCCACUCGGUGCCCGUCACCCAGUCACCCCCACCCCCCGCCCUCCUCCCCUUCCACCACCCCUAGAUCAUUUCCCAGAGUUAGGAGUCUUUAUGUACUGUCUCCCUUUCUGAUAUUUCCCACACAUUUCUUCUCCUUUCCCUUCUAUUCCUUUUCACUAUUAUUUAUAUUCCCCAAAUGAAUGAGAACAUACACUGUUUGUCC